rnacentral:tRNA from 1 species
GGAUUGUGGCUCAGCGGUAGAGCACUCCUCUAGCACAGGCAGGACUUGGGUUCAAUCCUCAGCACCA